AGCGAACGCUGGCGGCAGGCCUAACACAUGCAAGUCGAACGAACCUUUCGGGGUUAGUGGCGGACGGGUGAGUAACACGUGGGAACGUGCCUUUAGGUUCGGAAUAACUCAGGGAAACUUGUGCUAAUACCGAAUGUGCCCUUCGGGGGAAAGAUUUAUCGCCUUUAGAGCGGCCCGCGUCUGAUUAGCUAGUUGGUUGAGGUAAUGGCUCACCAAGGCGACGAUCAGUAGCUGGUCUGAGAGGAUGAUCAGCCACAUUGGGACUGAGACACGGCCCAAACUGCGACGGGGAGCAGAAGUGGGGAAGCGGGCGCAAGGGGCGAAAGAGGGACGCAGCCAGGCCGGGUGAAUGAGGAAGGUGGGAGGAUUGUAAAAGUGUUUGACCGGGGACGAUAAUGACGGUACCCGGAGAAGAAGCCCCGGCUAACUUCGUG
rnacentral:rRNA from 1 species